rnacentral:rRNA from 1 species
UACGAAGGGGGCUAGCGUUGCUCGGAAUUACUGGGCGUAAAGGGCGCGUAGGCGGAUAGCUUAGUCAGAGGUGAAAGCCCAGGGCUCAACCUUGGAAUUGCCUUUGAUACUGGCUGUCUUGAGUUCGGGAGAGGUGAGUGGAAUGCCGAGUGUAGCGGUGAAAUGCGCAGAUAUCGGGAGGAACACCAAUGGCGAAGGCAGCUCGCUGGGACGGUACUGACGCUGAGACGCGAAAGCGUGGGGAGCGAACAGG